CCUUAGAGUUUGAUCCUGGCUCAGAGCGAACGCUGGCGGCAGGCUUAACACAUGCAAGUCGAGCGGGCCCUUCGGGGUCAGCGGCAGACGGGUGAGUAACGCGUGGGAACGUGCCCUUCGGUUCGGAAUAACUCAGGGAAACUUGAGCUAAUACCGGAUACGCCCUUUUGGGGAAAGGCUUGACUGCCGAAGGAUCGGCCCGCGUCUGAUUAGCUGGUUGGUGAGGUUACGGCUCACCAAGGCGACGAUCAGUAGCUGGUCUGAGAGGAUGAUCAGCCACACUGGGACUGAGACACGGCCCAGACUCCUACGGGAGGCAGCAGAAGGG
rnacentral:rRNA from 1 species